rnacentral:rRNA from 1 species
UAACCAUGAUUGCCUUAGUAACGGCGAGUGAAGAGGCAAAAGCUCAAGUUUGGAAGCUCAGUGGUUUAACCACUGCGCAUUGUAAACUGAAAACAGGAUCAAUCAGGUACACCGGGUGAUAAGUCCCUUGGAAUAGGACAUCAUGGAGGGUGAGAAUCCCGUCUUGGACCCGAGUCUAGUAUCUUUGGUUUUGGCCUGUUCAAGAGUCAGGUUGUUUGGGAAUGCAGCCUAAAGCUGGAGGUAAAUCCCUCCUGAAAGCUAAAUAAUGGCGAGAGACCGAUAGCGAACAAGUACCGUGAGGGAAAGAUGAAAAGAACUCUGAAGAGAGAGUUAAACAGUACGUGAAAUUGCUUAAAGGGAAGCAUAUAAAGCUAGGAUGCGAUUGUUUUCUUCAGGUUGAGCUUUGGCUUGACUGUUCAGAAGGAUAAUCCGAGACAACAAGAAUUGGAGGAGGAGAAUAAGCUGUUAGGGAAGGUAAUCCUUCGGGAUGUUUAUAGACCUGGCAGUUCGCGCUCUUCUUUCGAUUGAGGUACGCUUUUUAUAAAGGUUGUUGUCUGAAUGGCUUUAUAUGA